AAGACUAUACUUCAGGGAUCAUUUCUAUAGUUUCGUGACUUGAGAAAUGUUGUUUCUAAAGUGUUUGUCUCGCCAACAUGAGAUGAGUCGUGAUAUUUCUUCGAGCAUGAAGCUGAUUAGAAGAGUAAUGAUUCACGUCAUAUGUGCUCUGUCAUUGAUGAUUGUUCUUUACUUCUUUGUGGAGUAUGAGAAGGGAAUAUGAUCCGAGUGGU
ensembl:snoRNA U3 Small nucleolar RNA U3